AAGGGUGUGCUUGUGGGGGGGCCGCGGGGUCUUUUGCCGCCCCACGCCUAUUGGGGGGGGACUGGCUCGCUUUUCUCCCCCUUCUUCUUCUCCUCAUCCUCAUCUUUUUCCCGCUUUCCCACGUGUGUUGGGAGAGUGGAGGAGGAAGUGUGUGUGUUUGGAGGAAGAAGGUGCAGUGGGGGAAAUAUGGAGAGUGCUUGUGUGUGUGCGCAGGUGUGUUGGUCACGGCUCAUCACAACGUGUCGCGACU
rnacentral:rRNA from 1 species